GGACCUUUAAAACGAUGCAAGCACCUCUUGACCUCGGAUCAGGUAGGGAUACCCGCUGAACUUAAGCAUAUCAAUAAGCGGAGGAAAAGAAACCAACAGGGAUUGCCUCAGUAACGGCGAGUGAAGCGGCAACAGCUCAAAUUUUAAAGCUGGUAGUCUUCAGACGCCCGCGUUGUAAUUUGGAGAGGCAUCUUCGGUUCGGGCGCUGGUCUAUGUUCCUUGGAACUGGACGUCGCAGAGGGUGAGAAUCCCGUGCUUGGCCAGCUGACCCCUUCCACGUGAAGCGCCUUCGACGAGUCGAGUUGUUUGGGAAUGCAGCUCAAAAUGGGUGGUAAAUUUCAUCUAAAGCUAAAUAUUGGUGGGAGACCGAUAGCGCACAAGUAGAGUGAUCGAAAGAUGAAAAGCACUUUGAAAAUAGAGUAAAACAGUACGUGAAAUUGUUGAAAGGGAAGCGCUUGAGGCCAGACUCGUGCGGGGACGAUCAGCCACCCUUCUGGGCGGUGCACUCGUCUUCGUUCGGGCCAGCAUCGGUCGGGACGGCGGGACAAAGGCUUCGGGAACGUGACUCCUCUCGGGGAGUGUUACAGCCCGUCGUGCAAUGCCGUCAGCCCCGACC
rnacentral:rRNA from 1 species